UUGUAACCGCUUCGGCGCCCUUCCCAGACCGAUCUCGGGGCUCAAAAUCUCGAUCGGUGAGCGAGGGAUCGUUUUCUUCGAUUUAGAUAUAUUAUUCUGUUCCUCCAGCAGCUGUGGUGGCAAUGGUGACUUCCCCCAACCAUCCAGAGCCAACAUUCACUUGCCUCCCACAAGCGCCAGCAGUCCCAUUCCAUAGAUUGGUUCAUGAUAGACCCAUUGCCAGGCCAUAUCUCAGCAGCCACACUCCUCUGACUUCCACCGCAGAUCUCUUGUGACUUGAAUGCACUGGCAGGGUGGAAACAUAUUAGAGAGGAGAACCUAAAGAGAGACUAAGAAAAGAGGACAAUCAUUCAGUGGUACAACCUUUUCUCGGCUUGUUUAUAAUUCAUGGAGGCAAAUUUGGGAUUCAUUUUUAACUGGUUGGAAUUUUAGCUACAAUUUAUAAUAUAUGAUGUCUGACAUUAUUGGGUAACUUUCAUGUUGAUGGCUUCUCGACAUAUGUUUGUUAAUGUUUUAUUGAGAGAGGUCUUUUAAGCCUAGUCUUCCUUUUCAUGGUUUGUGUGGCUUAGCUUUCU